rnacentral:rRNA from 1 species
AUUGAACGCUGGCGGCAGGCCUAACACAUGCAAGUCGAGCGGGUGAAGGGAGCUUGCUCCUGGAUUCAGCGGCGGACGGGUGAGUAAUGCCUAGGAAUCUGCCUGGUAGUGGGGGAUAACGUCCGGAAACGGGCGCUAAUACCGCAUACGUCCUGAGGGAGAAAGUGGGGGAUCUUCGGACCUCACGCUAUCAGAUGAGCCUAGGUCGGAUUAGCUAGUUGGUGGGAUAAAGGCCUACCAAGGCGACGAUCCGUAACUGGUCUGAGAGGAUGAUCAGUCACACUGGAACUGAGACACGGUCCAGACUCCUACGGGAGGCAGCAGUGGGGAAUAUUGGACAAUGGGCGAAAGCCUGAUCCAGCCAUGCCGCGUGUGUGAAGAAGGUCUUCGGAUUGUAAAGCACUUUAAGUUGGGAGGAAGGGCAGUAAGUUAAUACCUUGCUGUUUUGACGUUACCAACAGAAUAAGCACCGGCUAACUUCGUG